CUGGCUCAGGAUGAACGCUAGCUACAGGCUUAACACAUGCAAGUCGAGGGGCAGCAUGACGAUUGCUGCAAUGUCGAUGGCGACCGGCGCACGGGUGAGUAACGCGUAUCCAACCUUCCCCUUAGUAGAGGAUAGCCCGGCGAAAGUCGGAUUAAUACUCUAUGUUCUUCGAAGCGGGCAUCUAAUUUGAAGCAAAGAUUGAUCGCUAAGGGAUGGGGAUGCGUCUGAUUAGCUUGUCGGCGGGGUAACGGCCCACCGAGGCGACGAUCAGUAGGGGUUCUGAGAGGAAGGUCCCCCACAUUGGUACUGAGACACGGACCAAACUCCUACGGGAGGCAGCAGUGAGGAAUAUUGGUCAAUGGGCGUGAGCCUGAACCAGCCAAGUAGCGUGCCAGGAAGACUGCCCUAUGGGUUGUAAACUGCUUUUAUGCGGGAAUAAAGUCAGGUACGUGUACCUGUUUGUAUGUACCGCAUGAAUAAGGACCGGCUAAUUCCGUGCCAGCCGCGGC
rnacentral:rRNA from 1 species